rnacentral:rRNA from 1 species
UCAAGCUGAAAAGAGCGCAAGGGGAAUGCCUUGGCAUCAGGAGCCGACGAAGGACGUGACAAGCUGCGAUAAGCCACGGGGAGGAGCAAAUAUCCGUUAUAUCCGUGGAUUUCCGAAUGGGGGAACCCGCUCAAGCAAUACUUGAGCAUCGUGCGUUGAAUCAAAUAGGCGUACGAAGGGAACGGCCUGAACUGAAACAUCUAAGUAGGGCCAGGAAAAGACAUCAACCGAGAUUCCGCUAGUAGUGGCGAGCGAACGCGGAGGAGGCCAAACCGAGGGACGCAAGUUCUUCGGGGUUGCGGACAGACAUCAUGACCAGAGGAAAUUAAGAGAACGGCGUGGGAAAGCCGGCCACAGAAGGUGAGAGCCCUGUAUCUGAAAAUGAAGACUGGCAGUCUGGAUCCAGAGUACCGCGGGACACGUGAAACCCCGUGGGAAACCGGGUGGACCACCAUCCAAGCCUAAAUACUACCUGAUGACCGAUAGAGGAGCAGUACCGUGAGGGAAAGGUGAAAAGGACCCCGGGAGGGGAGUGAAAGAGAACCUGAAACCUUGUGCUUACAAGCACUCAAAGCACGUUAAAGUGUGAUGAGGUACUUUUUGUAGAACGGUCCGGCGAGUUAUAGUAACGAGCAAGCUUAAGGUAUUCAGUACCGGAGGCGAAGCGAGAGCGAGUCUGAAUAGGGCGUAAAAAGUUCGUUGCCAUAGACCCGAAACCGGGUGACCUAACCAUGAGCAGGCUGAAGUGAGAGUAAAAUCUCAUGGAGGGCCGAACGCACGUUCGUUGCAAUGACCGGCGAUGACUUGUGGUUAGCGGAGAAAUUCCAAUCGAACUCGGAGAUAGCUGGUUCUCCCCGAAAUAGCUUUAGGGCUAGCCUCGUUUUAAAUUACCGGGGGUAGAGCACUGAAUGGGCUAGGGGGCCACAAAGCUUACCGAACCCUAUCAAACUUCGAAUACCGGAUAAUUGAUGAUCGGGAGUCAGACAGUGUGAGAUAAGUUUCAUUGUCGAAAGGGAAACAGCCCAGAUCUACGACUAAGGUCCCAAAGUUCAAGUUAAGUGGAAAAGGAUGUGCAAUUGCGUAGACAACCAGGAUGUUGGCUUAGAAGCAGCCAUUCAUUCAAAGAGUGCGUAAUAGCUCACUGGUCGAGUGAUUGUGCGCCGAAAAUGUAACGGGGCUAAACUUGACACCGAAGUCUAGGCAGAAGGAAACUUCUGGGUAGGGGAGCAACGUGUACGGGCAGAAGCAGAAGCGGAAGCGACUGUGGACUGUACAGGAGAGAGAAUGCCGGCAUGAGUAGCGAGAGCAAAGUGAGAAUCUUUGCCGUCGAAAGCCUAAGGUUUCCUGAGGAAGGCUCGUCCUCUCAGGGUAAGUCAGGACCUAAGCCGAGGACAAAAGUCGUAGGCGAUGGACAACUGGUUGAUAUUCCAGUACCACCUUUAGCGUUUGACUGAAGCAGUGACACAGAAGGAUAGACAGAGCGCGUGACUGGUAGAGCGCGUCCAAGCGAUGAGGGAGUUAAGUAGUGAAGCACGCUUAACAAUCCUGGGUCGUGAUGGGGACUGAAAAUAAGUAGGGAAGCUGUUGAAUUCACGCUGGCGAGAAAAGCUGCUAAGGAGCGAAAGGGUGCCUGUACCGCAAACCGACACAGGUAGGCGAGGAGAGAAUCCUAAGACGAGCGGGAGAACCCUUGUUAAGGAACUCGGCAAAAUGACUCCGUAACUUAGGGAGAAGGAGUGCCCAGGAAUGGGCCGCAGAGAAUAGACCCAAGCGACUGUUUACCAAAAACACAGGUCUGUGCGAAGUAGAGAUACGACGUAUACGGGCUGACGCCUGCCCAGUGCCGGAAGGUUAAGGGGAAGUGUUAGGGCAACCGAAGCACGGAACUUAAGCCCCGGUGAACGGCGGCCGUAACUAUAACGGUCCUAAGGUAGCGAAAUUCCUUGUCGGGUAAG